AAUAGAUGACACCAUUAACUUUUUCUCACAUGUUUAACCAUUCGUCUUAUUUAAAAAAUUUACAUAAUUAUAAUUUAUUUUGUUAUGAGUUGUUUUAUCACUCAUAAUACUUUAAGUGUGAUUUAUAUCUUAUACAUUUACAUACAAUUUUUAAAUAAGACGAAUGAUCAAACAUAUAAAAAAGGUUAACGGCGUCAUUUAUU
rnacentral:pre_miRNA from 1 species